rnacentral:rRNA from 1 species
CAGCAGCCGCGGUAAUACGGAGGGUGCAAGCGUUACUCGGAAUCACUGGGCGUAAAGGAUGCGUAGGCGGAUAAAUAAGUCGAAAGUGAAAUCCCACGGCUUAACCGUGGAACUGCUUUUGAAACUGUUUAUCUAGAAUAUGGGAGAGGUAGAUGGAAUUAGUGGUGUAGGGGUAAAAUCCGUAGAUAUCACUAGGAAUACCGAUUGCGAAGGCGAUCUACUGGAACAUUAUUGACGCUGAGGCAUGAAAGCGUGGGGAGCAAACAGGAUUAGAUACCCUGGUAGUCCACGCCCUAAACGAUGCACACUAGUUGUUGCGAUGCUAGUCAUUGCAGUAAUACACUUAACACAUUAAGUGUGCCGCCUGGGGAGUACGGUCGCAAGAUUAAAACUCAAAGGAAUAGACGGGGACCCGCACAAGCGGUGGAGCAUGUGGUUUAAUUCGAAGAUACACGAAGAACCUUACCUGGGCUUGAAAUCCUUAGAAUCUUUUAGAGAUAAGAGAGUGCUAGUUUACUAGAACUAAGUGACAGGUGCUGCACGGCUGUCGUCAGCUCGUGUCGUGAGAUGUUGGGUUAAGUCCCGCAACGAGCGCAACCCUCGUCUUUAGUUGCUAACAGUUCGGCUGAGCACUCUAAAGAGACUGCCUUCGUAAGGAGGAGGAAGGUGAGGACGACGUCAAGUCAUCAUGGCCCUUAUGUCCAGGGCUACACACGUGCUACAAUGGUCGGGACAAAGAGCAGCGAUACCGCGAGGUGGAGCAAAUCUUAAAAACCCAAUCUCAGUUCGGAUUGGAGUCUGCAACUCGACUCCAUGAAGCUGGAAUCGCUAGUAAUCGUAGAUCAGCAAUGCUACGGUGAAUACGUUCCCGGGUCUUGUACUCACCGCCCGUCACACCAUGGGAGUUGAUUUCACUCGAAGCGGGAGUACCAAGUUUUGGUUACCGUCCACAGUGGAAUCGACGACUGGGGUGAAGUCGUAACAAGGUAACCGU